rnacentral:rRNA from 1 species
AGCGAACGCUGGCGGCAGGCCUAACACAUGCAAGUCGAACGAACCUUUCGGGGUUAGUGGCGGACGGGUGAGUAACACGUGGGAACGUGCCUUUAGGUUCGGAAUAACUCAGGGAAACUUGUGCUAACACCGAAUGUGCCCUUCGGGGGAAAGAUUUAUCGCCUUUAGAGCGGCCCGCGUCUGAUUAGCUAGUUGGUUGAGGUAAUGGCUCACCAAGGCGACGAUCAGUAGCUGGUCUGAGAGGAUGAUCAGCCACAUUGGGACUGAGACACGGCCCAAACUCCUACGGGAGGCAGCAGUGGGGAAUCUUGCGCAAUGGGCGAAAGCCUGACGCAGCCAUGCCGCGUGAAUGAUGAAGGUCUUAGGAUUGUAAAAUUCUUUCACCGGGGACGAUAAUGACGGUACCCGGAGAAGAAGCCCCGGCUAACUUCGUG